UACGAAGGGGGCUAGCGUUGUUCGGAAUUACUGGGCGUAAAGCGCGCGCAGGCGGUCCUUCAAGUCAGGGGUGAAAGCCCAGGGCUCAACCCUGGAAUGGCCUUUGAGACUAGAGGACUUGGGUACGGGAGAGGUGAGCGGAAUUCCGAGUGUAGAGGUGAAAUUCGUAGAUAUUCGGAGGAACACCAGUGGCGAAGGCGGCUCACUGGCCCGUUACCGACGCUCAGGCGCGACAGCGUGGGGAGCAAACAGG
rnacentral:rRNA from 1 species